GAUGAAGAACGUAGCGAAAUGCGAUAAGUAAUGUGAAUUGCAGAAUUCAGUGAAUCAUCGAAUCUUUGAACGCAUCUUGCGCUCCUUGGUAUUCCGAGGAGCAUGCCUGUUUGAGUGUCAUUUAAUUCUCAACUACACUGACUUUGAAUUGGUGUGGCUUGGAUUUGGGGGGAAAAUUGUUGUGGGCUUUUUGUAUAGUCUGCUCCCCUGAAAUUGAUUAGCGGUACCUUUGUGGAACUGUCUACAGGUGUGAUAAUUAUCUACAUCUUAGACAUCUGCUGGAAUGCUGCUUUCUAAACCUUACUUGUAUUGACAAUCUUGACCUCAAAUCAGGUAGGACUACCCGCUGAACUUAAGCAUAUCAAUAAGCGGAGGA
rnacentral:misc_RNA from 1 species